rnacentral:lncRNA from 1 species
GACCAAAAAUUAAGAAUCUACAUACACAGUUAGAUUCAGCAUAUCAAAGAAAUAAUUCUCUCUAAAUUUUUCUUACAUUUAACAUUGGCACCUUUUUUGUUUAAAAAAACUAUGAAAAAAUAACAAGGAUUUCAUAAGAUUUUGAAAUAUGGCUUUUUAAACUAUAUGUAAUAAAAAUAUAAAAAGAAAAGUAGGGGUUAGUGGGCUUUUUUUUUUAAUAUUAAUACAUGUAUAUAACCAGAGGAUUCCGAAAAUCUGGCAAAAAUUCAAAAAUUAGAGGAGCAAACAUCAUUAAAGCUUAAAUGUUAUGUUAGGGUAAUGUUAAUUACAGGCAAGUCUACUGUACCAGAACAAAGGAACAUCUAGAUGCUGGACCAUGAAACCAAUAUGUUAUGCCUGGCUAUUGGUAUUGGGUUUUCUGGUCUGUGCAAACAUCUGUUGUCUUUGGAAGAUUACUCUUAUUUUUUGUUAUCAGCAAGUUGUUACUAGUGAUACAUGUUCAUUCUGAUAUUAAACUUUUAGAAUUAAAUGCCAAAUGAGAGAGUGGUAAUGGGGCUACCUUCAUGAGGAAUAAUGGUUAAAAAAAUCUUGCCAAAAAAAAUCAACUAAUUAUAACAAAUCUCGUUCUCAGAUCUUCUCUGAUCAUGUUAUUUUUUUUCUCCAAAAAUAAUAGUAACAAUAAUUAUUUGAGACUCUCAAGAAUCACAAUAAGGAUUUUUUUAAGAAUCAUAUUAAAAUUUAACCCAAUUUGAUGGUUAACAAUAGCCGAAAAUGAUCAUUUGAUGCCUGAUGCUAAAGAGAAUUCAUACCCUCAAAUAAGGGC